ACCACCUUGUUUGAAAUGGAAACGCUGCCUCCACUGCCACGAGAGAGAGAGCAGCAGUCUCACCAAAGGAGGUGGGGAGAGACGGAGAGGAACACAAAGAGUGUGUGGAGCAACAGUCACUCGCAGGCAGCCUUGGACGCAUACAAACUAAAGUAAGGCGCAGUCUGAUGGCACAGCAGAAAAUUUCUCUACGUACACUAAAAGAAGAGAACAAGCCUGAGAAGCGCACUGAAGGAAGAGCGGAAGGUUUUGUUUUUGUGUGUCAUCUCACUUUGCCUCUACUCCACGUGCAGACCCAUCAUCUGCGUCUGAGGAACUAUCCCUCCUAACCCUAAUCUCGGUUUUCGACCUGAUUGGUGAUCUGGAUGAUUCACUGCACUCACACACUCUGCAGUUGGCGUGGGCUCGGCUGAGUGUGUGAAAACAACGAGAGCUCUCACAGGAUGGAUGCCGGAGAACAGACGCUGACCCUUCUGAACAGGCUUUGGGCAAAGUUGCAGAGUCUGCCCAGUGCCAACAGCAUAGAGCUGGGGGCUUUCUUCGUCCAGCUAACCUUCAUCUUGGUGGUCCUGCUCAUGACGGUGCUGACCUGCUUGACCUGCUGCUGCUGCCGCUGCUGCCGCCGCAAGACCAAGACGGGGGGAGCGGACAUCUGAGCAACUGUGCUCCACACAAGGAUAAUCAUGUACACGGACAAUUUCUGGAUAUUUAACUCCCAUAUCGGGCAUCUCGGCACAAAUAAAACACAAAGCCAGGGUUUCUCUGAAGCUCUCUCUGCCCUGAAUGCAGGGUGUGUUCGUUCGGUGGCACUGGAGAGGCCCAACCCUUGAACAAUAAAGCACCUGUCAAACACAGAGAUGUGCGUCUUGACCGGCUGUCAGACACACCCGGCGAGGCUGCCAGGUUUUCAGGAGAAUCCAGAUUCCUUGGAGCAUCCCUUCAAUCCACAGGGUGGAAAACAACAACAACAACUCCCCUGAUCAGAGGAAAAGCCUGAACCAACAUCAACUGCAACUUUAACAAUGCAGGCAAAUUACGUGGAAUAUGAAUGGUAAAAUGUGUAGAAUCAUAUUUUUCUUAAACUGCAGCAAAUCAACAAUAGCAAGUUAUGCAGCAAUAUGACGGGGAUGAUAAAAUGCUUUGACUAUAAGCCACUGUUAAGGAAUGAGAAAUGUCAGUCAGACCACAUUCAGAGGUGGUCUGGGUUACAGCAGAGUAAGGUAAGAUUCUCCUGAGGGGGAAGCUGUUUCAGACUUGAACGUGUUUCUCGAACAUAUUGUACAAAGCAUAAAGAGAGAUCAAGUCUGCCCCCUGCUGUACGCAAACUGACAUAGCAUGUAUGUAAUGAAAGAUGUGUUUAACUUGUGUGUGUGUGUGUGUGUGUGUGU